UUAAGUUCAGCGGGUAGUCCUACCUGAUUUGAGGUCAAACGUUCAGUAAUUGGUGUUGUCCUUGCGGACGGUUGGUAGCUGAACAAGACAGAGAGCGACCCACUGGCGUAGAUAAUUAUCACACCUGUGACGGAUCGCAAACGGUUCCGCUAAUGCAUUUCAGAGGAGCCGACCCAGCAAAAAGGGCCCGCAAAAUACCU
rnacentral:misc_RNA from 1 species